UACGUAGGGGGCAAGCGUUAUCCGGAUUCACUGGGUGUAAAGGGAGCGUAGACGGCGACGCAAGUCUGGAGUGAAAGCCCGGGGCCCAACCCCGGGACUGCUCUGGAAACUGCGGCGCUGGAGUACGGGAGGGGCAGGCGGAAUUCCUGGUGUAGCGGUGAAAUGCGUAGAUAUCAGGAGGAACACCGGCGGCGAAGGCGGCCUGCUGGACUGUAACUGACGUUGAGGCUCGAAAGCGUGGGGAGCAAACAGG
rnacentral:rRNA from 1 species